GACGUAGGGCGCGAGCGUUGUCCGGAUUUAUUGGGCGUAAAGAGCUCGUAGGCGGCUUGUCGCGUCGUCCGUGAAAACCAGGGGCUCAACCCCUGGCUUGCGGUCGAUACGGGCAGGCUAGAGUUCGGUAGGGGAGACUGGAAUUCCUGGUGUAGCGGUGAAAUGCGCAGAUAUCAAGGAGGAACACCGGUGGCGAAGGCGGGGUCUCUGGGCAGUAACUGACGUGGAGGAGCGAAAGCGUGGGGAGCGAACAGGA
rnacentral:rRNA from 1 species